GUUAUCAAGGAUACCUUGGCCGAGGACUAUCCCAAACUGAGUCCGCCAAGGCUAUUAAAAAGCUAUAUACUCAUAAAUCAUGUUUUUAUUUAGAAAAUAUAGUUGUUCCUUGGCGUUGGCUGAGUUCGCCCUCACGUGGUGGUUUGCCGUGAAGUGAACUCUAAAAGUUAUACCUCGAGAGUUACCCUACUCGCCUCUCCAACUGAGGUAAAAUAUGUCAGGAUUCUGUGCCCCUCUAAUAGGCUAGUCCACACAACCCAGCCCACUGCAGCAAGCAAUACCCACCAUACAAUAAAAUUUUUGACAGCAUGACAAGGUUAAUUUAAUACUACCCAGCCUGCAAAUAUAAAAUAGAACAAUUCAUACAGUUCACCAAAAACACAACCCAGCCAGUCAUGCCAACACAUUAACAUAAGUCAUCAAUUCAGAUCAUAAAUUUACAACACAUCAGGGGUCUCCAAUUACUCUAUUUUCAAAAUCAUCAUUCAAUUUCAAGACAAUUUAUAAAAUCUUUUCAUUUAAACACAUUUUGUUUAUAAACAUAAAGGUUUACCAUUUAAACCCAUUUUUCAUAAAAUCAUAAAAUCGGAUAAACACCACUUUAGAUAAUUAAGACGAUAGUAAGGUUACUCACUAUACUAGGAGUUAGAUAUACUCCUAUUUUCGAGUCUUCGGGCACAAUCUCUUUACCCUUAUUAGAGGGCUCACCACUUAUACAUCAUACGUGACACGAAUUUCAAUAAAUUGUGUCAAUUUAUCAUAAACUAUUUUGGGCUCUAUAAAUCUAUAUGAAUGCACGAAAUGUGAUACAAAAUGUCCAAAUAGCCGUUUAAAUACGGUAUUCGACCUAAUUCGCACUAUUCUCAAUGUAAUUGGCUAAAACCUCCAAUUUAACUCCAAAUCAAUUUCUUUCACUUUCUACACUCCAAUUGUACUUAAAAUACCUCAAUGACUGUGAAUAUGAUUCAAUUUAUCAGUCAGAACCAUAAAUCGCACAUGUCUAUACAUUAGGUAAAAAUUCAUAUUUUCAUGCCAAAGUUUCCCAUUAAAUUUCUAGCCUCACCAAUCAUUAAAUACCACCAAAAUAUCAUGAAAUAUUAUCAAUUUCAGCCUUAAUAUCCUCCCUAGAAAAUUCGGCCUCUUAUGGGUAAUGGGAGAAAAUGAAUUUUUCUUGUUGGCUUUUCUUGCUACAUAUCACUAACUAACUAAAAACACUAGAAUAUCUUAAAAUCUAACCAAAACAUCAUCAAAUUCUCUCUCCUAGGUGUUCGGGCAGCAAGAGGUUCAUCAUAAAAACUUGAUUUCUAAGCAUGGAAAAUGGAAAAGAAAGCAUGGGUAGUGUAAAUCACAAGUCAAAAUCAAGAAAUUUUACCUUUAUUAGCUUAAUCCCUUGAAAUCCCAUACUUUUUCUUCAAUUUUUCCACCUAAGAUUUGUGUUCUUUCCUUUCCUCUUCACUUCAUGCUUUGGCCGGCCAUAUGGG
rnacentral:lncRNA from 1 species